CCUACGGGGGGCAGCAGUAGGGAAUCUUCCGCAAUGGACGAAAGUCUGACGGAGCAACGCCGCGUGAGUGAAGAAGGUUUUCGGAUCGUAAAACUCUGUUGUAAGGGAAGAACAAGUACGUUAGUAACUGAACGUACCUUGACGGUACCUUACCAGAAAGCCACGGCUAACUACGUGCCAGCAGCCGCGGUAAUACGUAGGUGGCAAGCGUUAUCCGGAAUUAUUGGGCGUAAAGCGCGCGUAGGCGGUCUCUUAAGUCUGAUGUGAAAGCCCCCGGCUCAACCGGGGAGGGUCAUUGGAAACUGGGAGACUUGAGUGCAGAAGAGGAGAGUGGAAUUCCAUGUGUAGCGGUGAAAUGCGCAGAGAUAUGGAGGAACACCAGUGGCGAAGGCGGCUCUCUGGUCUGUAACUGACGCUGAGGUGCGAAAGCGUGGGGAUCA
rnacentral:rRNA from 1 species